CCUGAGAAACCCAGAAGAUCGAAUGGGGAGAUUCAUCGUCAGCGAUCCUGGCACGUGUGCGGUUCGCGAUGCCGGAGACUCCGGUCUCGCGGCACGCGUCCGCAUGGUUUCCAUUGCCGGGUGUCGUCGGCGUGCACUUCUCCCCUAGUAGGACGUCGCGACCCGUUGGGUGUCGGUCUACGGCCCGGGCGGGCGACUGUCGCGCGUUGCGCUUCGCGGCGUCGCGCGACAGACCCCCGGUUGUCUGACCAGCUGCUCGGCGGUACUCGCACGGUAUCGAGUCGCAAAUAUUCGAACUGCGUCCGGCCCGCCGCAAGCGAGGCCAGUGUUCCCGGAUGUGCGGACCUGGUGCCGUCACCGGGCCUGGCCAGCUGUUGGUUGGCGGUGUCCUGGGACUGGCUCAUUAAUUAUGAUACCGGUCGGCGACGCUACUGCUUUGGGUACUUUA
rnacentral:rRNA from 1 species